AGAAACCUUUGUCGUGCUGUGUAGUGCUUUGCUCUCUCAGUUUCUAAGUUUUCUGUAUGCUCAAGCAAUGACCAACAUGAGUAGCAAGAGUGGGAUGGGAAAAACCUCCAACACUGGUUGUCCCGGAGCUGGUGUUAGAGCUAAUGUUCGACGCACUGCCACAGCUCGUGCCGGAGCCGGUGCCGAAUGCAGUGCUGGAGCGGGUGCCAGAGAUGGUGCUGGACACAGCGUCAAAGGUGGAGACCCUGGUGCUGGACAUAGAGAUUGUGUUGGCACUUGAGACCUUGGUGCGUUUUCUGUGGGACAUUCCAACCAUGGCUCUUCGCUACCCCAAUCCCAUGUCUCCCAAACUGGAGGGGAAGGUGGUGGAGGCAAAUCCAUGGAUGGAGGCUCGUGAUCACUCCCACCCUCACUUCCACCACCAUUGUCACUGCCGCAGGACUUAGAAGGGACGCUCGAAGAUGGGGGAGAUGGGGCAAGACCUGGAGAUAGAAAGCUAAUGGCACAGUCAUUGUUGGUAGUUGGUGUGGCAUGCUUUGCUGGUGGUGAGGAUCGUGUGAGAAAUUCGUUGGUGCGCACAACCCGCAUGCUGCGAUCAGGAGAUUUGGCAUCCCUAGCUCACGAAAUGGGCGGGAAAACUUCUAUACAGCCUUUUUAGUUUGGAUGAUUGUGCAUGGUUUUCUGUGUUUUCGUGUGAAGGCAUCCACAACAAAAGGGCGAAGUUUUUUGGGCAAGCAGAAACACCUCAAGGUUCAGAUAGUGUGCUUCUCAUAUUUUUCGCUUAGCUAUGGCAACUUUUGUUAACAAGUUCCAUUCAUUUUGAUCUGGAUAAAAUAUCCUCUUGAAAAAAAUUAGAUGCUUUUGGUGUUGACGCAUCACGCUCCUCUCAAAUGCUAAACUCUUUCCUAAACUCCUUAUCUCCUUUUGUUCUCGAAAUCUCCUUUAAAAGGUGCGCUUGCUGGGGCAGAGGGAAUUACAGCAUUAUCCCGGAAACAGUUAAUAACAAUAAUUACAUAAAUCUUAAAAAUUACUUUUAUUCUAGAGCUUAGAAUCCCAUCGUCCAUCUGAGAAUCGGUCAAUUCCUCCCAUUGCAUGAGCACAGGCUUGGAGCUUUGCUCCAGAACGUAAGAAUACCAUCUUUAAAUAGAACUUUUUUUUAGUAUUAACAAAAUAAAUAAGCAAAUUGAUUUGGCGUAUGAGUUAAGGUGGUGAUUUCCGUCAAGUUCAUGAAGCUUGCUAAUGAUAUUAGUAGACUCUUGCAGGACACUAGAGAACCUGUCCCAGACAGUUUUUGCGAGUUACUAGUGCGAAAGAAGAAGACUCAUGCCAAGUUUGGAUUAAGAACAAGGUAUAUAAAUUUGAUAUUUUACGGAAGUAGUGGGAUACGACGAGUCCCCGUCCAUCCCACACAUCCCGUCUCCAUCCUUUUGCUCGAAUUUCAUGAAUCCAUCCUCCCCCCAGGAAGUGUUUUUGAUGAUCCAGGAGGGCAUCCCACCUUUGAUUCCAUAUCCAAUGCGUGAUCCAGCGAAUCGCUGCAUUGACCAGAAAUAAUUCCCUGGAAAACGAUGUAAAUAAGUUAGAAAUUAAUAAUAUUUGAGAUUUUCUUACACUCCUGUAAUGCUGGAAGUUGUUGGUCGCUGCCAACGGUCACGGGAGUUUUGGAGACUGCUUUCAUCAGGGUGUCAGCACUGUGACGACUUUAAAAACAGUGAUCUCCGCUAUUCUUCAUAUAAUCUAUAAUAUGACAUAAUCAGUAAAGUAUACCAACCUGUUCGCGUUGCAACUGCCCGCAAAUCCAGUAUAUGGAUAGGUCUCCUCUGUGGUGACACCACCGUUUCCCACCACGAACUGAAACUCAUUCUCCGAUAACCCACCCUUGCAUCCUUCGUCUACUGUGUCCAGAGAAACGAGCUGCUUCGUCGCCAGAAAGUGUGCACUCUCGAUCGAUGCAAUCGCCGAGAAAGCCCAGCAGCUCAUGUGGAUCACAAGAAUCACCCGCACCCAAAUAGACGAGAGAUACCCAAAAUUACGAUGAGUUCUAAUCAUACUGCGGUCGCCCUGAUCUUUAUUCGGGGUCACAGUUCCCCGCUGCCUCCAAUCCAAGCUCGUCGGGAGGCUCGACACGUCCACGUCCACGGCCGGGAGGCGAUCCAGGUAGCGCGGCGCUUGCUGACGUGCAUGGCUCGGGAUUCGGCAUUUGUGAGAUCCGAGAACUUGAGGCCAAGCAUGAAGGUGGUGUUGGGCACGUUGUGCUUCGCGAUGUACGCCAAAGUGUCUGAGAAGACCGCGAGCCUUCUCCCAGUCGCUGCUGUAACUCUUGCGGCGCUUGGCAGUCCAAUCGUCUCUAGAGCGCGAUCAUCUUCCAGAGCCACUGGCUGCACAAUCGCAAACAGUCCUGCCCCUACCAAGAUUAAAUCAUGUUGCUUGCCAUGGUCGCACUUGCACAAGUGAGCUUAUAUAGUGAAAAUUUUACCUUCGGGUAAUUGCCGGGUAAGGUAUGUAAGGUUUACGUUUGGCAGUGUUAUAGAGGUUUCGGGAUUGAACUAUCCUUGCGAUGGAAGCAUGGAAGACACAUAAAAGAGAUGCCCUCCCGUGACAACAUUCAACAUUUCAACAUUUAACAUGCCCUUGACACAAUACAACAUCAAAGCAUAGCUUCAGCAUUUGAAGUUAUAUACUUAAAAGACUAAUUGGGUUGAAUUAAUAUGACUAAUACAAAUUGACCUGUGUAAAGCCAUUAUAAAUGCAUUGGAGAGUGGGAGAAGGAUGCUGGUCCCCGUUUCUUACAGCAGUAAAGAUUGCUAUUUUAGGGGGAUCACAAAUAUAUUACAAGAUUCUUCAAUAAGUAGUUCAAAAGUUUAAUUGCAGUAUCUUGUUUUGAAAUAUUCUGUUUAUUAAAUAGUUUACUGAUGCAGUAAUGCUUGGUUUGCUUAACAAUAGUGCUUACUGUUUAAUAAUCUAACUGUAAAUUUUAAAUACAAGAUUAAUCUUAUUAUUUAUCAACCAUUAGAUGUUAAAAUAAAUGAAACAUACUUGGAAGUAAUUAGUAAUGUUUAUAAAUUAUAAACAUAUUUAUAAAGUAUAAUUUCAAUAUUAAUCUAAAUGAAUAAAUUAAUUUGAAAAUAUAAUAAAAUACACUUGAAAGUUCUGUAGCAAAGUCAGGCUUAUGAGAUCCAAAUAUACAGCUAGAAUACAAUAUCUGUAUAGUGGGACUUUGAUAGCUGUUUGAUUCACUUUAAUUAGAAUCACUCACAUUUUCUUUUUAGAAAACUUUGAAGUGUUUUGGCAAUUCUUCAGCUCUCUCAUAUUUUAAAUUUUUUUAGGUUUUUAUAUGCGUAAGUCCACAUGAAUGUAAUGACCAAUAUAUAGUGAUAAAAAGAUACUUGUACUUUGGUUUGCCUGUAGGUGUAUCCACUCCACCUAGCUCUGUAACUCUCAAUCAUGACUGUUUGCUGCUGCAAGCCUGCAGCUCUCCCUAGAUCGUGAUGCUGUGGCUAUACCUAGCUCUGGAUCUACUGCAUAUCAUAGUCAAAAGAGCAAAUUUCACUAGUUGCUAAUGUAUUGUGAUGGCAGUGUAUAAUUGAUAUAUUAAUAUAAAGUUUGGAUUAUAAAGUGGUUAUUUUACGAAGUAGUGGGGUAUGAUGACUGUCCGUUCAUCCCACACAUCCCUUCUCCAUCCUCUUUCUUGAUUCUCAUGAAUCCAUCCUCCCCCCAGGAAGUUCCCCACGAGUUUUUGAUGAUCCAGUAGGGCAUCCCACCUUCGGUUCCAUAUCCAAUGACCAAGACCGCAUGAUCCCGCGAAUUGCUGCAGUGACCAGAAAGAAUUCCCUGGAAAACGAUGUAAUUAAGUUAGAAAUAAAUAGAAAUAAUAUCUGAGAUUUUCUUACACUUCUGUAAUUCUGGAAGUUUUGGUCGCUGCCGCAGAUGCCAACGGUCACGGGAGUUUUGGAGACUGCUUUCAUCAGGGCGUCAGCACUGUCCUUUGUGACGUCUUUAUAACCAGUGAUCUCCACCACCUUAUUCUUUAAAGAACAAAAAACAGCUAUAAUAUGAAAUAAUUAGUGAAGUAUACCAACCUUGUUCGCGUUGCAACUGCCUGCAAAUCCCGUAUAUGGAUAGGCCUCCUCCGUGGUGACACCACCGUUUUCCACCACGAACUUAAACGCAUCCUCCGGAAACCCACCCUGGCAUCCUUGGUCUACCGUGUCACAGUCUAUCAAUUGCUGCUCGGACAGAGAAACGAGCUCCUUCGUCGCCAGAAAGUGUGCACUCUCGAUCGAUGCAAUCGCCGAGAAAGCCCAGCAGCUCCCUGUGGAUCAUGCGAAUCACCCACACCCACAAAGGCCAAAUAGAAGAGAGAUUAGAAAAAAAAAACAAAAAAACGACGAGUUCUUAUCAUACCGCACUGGCCCUGAUCUUUAAUCGGUGUCACAGCUCCCUCCUGCCUCCAAUCCAAGCUCGUCGGGAGGCUCGACACGUCCACGUCCACGUCCUUGGCCGGGCGGCGAUCCUGGUAGCGCGGGGGCUUGAAUUUGCCGACGUAAUUGGCUCGGAACUCGGCAUUUGUGAGAUCCGAGAACUUGUUGAGGCCGAGCGUGAAGGUGGUGUUGGGCAGCGCGUUGUGCUUCUCGAUGUACGCCAAAGUGUCGGAGAAGAUCAUCAGCCUGCGAGCCUUCUCCCAGUCGCUGCUGUAACUCUUGCCGUGCUUGGCAGCCCAACCCUCGAACAUGUUCUUGAUCUCUAGAGCGCGAUCGCCUUCCAGAGCCGCUGGCCGCGCAAUCGCAAACGGUGCUGCCCCUACCACCACCAGGGUGCUAUAUAUGGUAAGUGUUUAUAUCUGCUGGAGAAGCAUUUUUAUGGAAUAUAGAGAGUGUCUUAAAUACCAUGAUCAUAAUUUUAGCACCAUUUCAUAUUUAAUAAAUUUUCAAAUUUGUUCCAAAGACUAACCUAUAUGAAGCACUUUAGCUAUUGCACAUGCACAAUUUCUAGAGGAUCAACCUAUUGAAUGUUAUACUAAACCUCAUAAACUUAUGGUCCAAUUUACCAUGAUAUUUAAUACGGUCCAUUCCACUAAAUAAGGAGCCCUUUAGACAAACGACAUACUAUAAAAUUGGGAAAAUGAAUUAACACUAGAUUAUCCAUUUUAUACUUUGUAAGUGGAUGAUGAUGUGAAUUGUAGUGUCGUUGUUGUCCAUGUAUACAUGGUUUAAGUAUUCAACAAUUUUACUCAAAGUAAUGGAUGAAUGCUCAUCAAAUACAAAUCCUAAAACCUAGCAUUAGUAACUUGUAGGAAUGGCAAAAGUAAACUUAACUCCAUUAAUAGUAUUGUAUUAUGACCAUAUAAAUUUUUUUAUGGUGAGGUAUUAAUAAAACUCUAUACCUCUAUGACAUAUGUAUAUCGAAGAGAUGGUAAAUAUCCAUCUUAAUUCGAAUGUUGAAAGUUUAUGUCCUUCACAAUCAUCCCUUAAGAUCCAAACACACUUGGGCUAACACAACUUUAAAACUAAUAUAAAAAACAUCCACACAAUUAGAAUACAUCAAAACUGAAGGAGUCAUUAAUAACUCUUUUGUGAUGCAAAAAUGCCCAUUUAAAGUCAUUAGACUAAAUGAAAGAUGGUGUUGAUGACUUUAGCAAUAGUCAGAAUAGUGUAGUAUGAUUAAAAAUAUGAUCAAUAAAUAACUAAAUUAUUGCACAUUUCUCAAGAACUAUUGCAUAUCAUUCACACACUUAUAGUGAAUAAACUUUAUAGUCCUUAGUUCUCCCAGCGGUUGCAUUACUAGUCUAGCUUGCUAGAUUAUGUUUGCAGCCCCAAAAUUAUCCAAAGCACUCAUAAGCAAGGUAUAUUCCUACCCUUAAAUUUGAAAUUGUAUAUAUUGAGCAUCCAUGUACAUAUCUUUCCUCAUAUGAAGCAUCCAUGAACAAAGAUAAUUUGUGGGAUGCAAUACAAAUAGAUAACUAGUUGUCUCACAUGGAAUAAUUAAUCUAUACAAUAGAAGAAUUGGUAGAUUGCGAAAAUAAAAGUGUUAGUUCCCUUUAGUUUAAUAGGGGUUGUGGGAUGUAGUAUAAGUGGAUGAUUAGAUGCCUCAUAUGGAAUAACUAAUUUAUACAAUGGAAAGAUUAAUAGAUUGGAGAAAUAGAGGUGUUAAUUCCCUUUAGCUCAAUAAGGAUUAUUAGAUAUAUACUUAUAUAUAUAAAAAUAAAUAAUAUUAACCCAAAAACCCUAAUUUAUAUAUAAGAGGCCACUCCUAGCAUAUUCAUAGCAUAUCCACUAUAAGCCCUAAAAAAUAAAAAACAGUGGGGGAGGAAAUGAUAUGAGCUUUGGACAAACGCGGCGGCGUCUCCUCAGCACAGCGAUCAUCGAUUCUCCCGACACCUCCUUGCAGCGGUUGGCACGCCUCGACGACGAUCUCCACCACUUGCAAUUCCAGUCGCCCUUCCAGGUGCGCCAGACCUACGCCGCGCUCCUCAAGCACUGCGGCAAUGCGGCCGCCCUACCGCAGGGGCGGCGAAUUCACGCCCACAUUGUCGCCAGCGGCCUCGCCAGCGAUGGAUUCCUGGGCGAUCACCUCCUCCAGAUGUAUGGCAAAUGCGGCAGCGUCGACGACGCCAUCCAGGUCUUCCACUCCCUCCCGCGAAGAAGCCUCUUCUCCUGGAACUUCAUCAUCGCGGCAUUCGCCAAGAACAGGCAUGGCCGCAAGGCGAUCGAGAUGUUUAGGAGCAUGGACUCGGCGGGGAUCAAGCCCGACAGCGCUACUCUCUCCAGCGUCCUUGGCGCUUGCUCCAGCUUGAGGGAUCUGGAAGAAGGUCGGAGGAUCCAUGGCAGGAUUUCCAGUGGCGAGUUCCAGAGCGGGAUAGUUGUGGAGACUGGGCUCGUGAAGAUGUAUGCCCGCUGUGGGAGGCUGCGAGAGGCCAGAGAGGUGUUCGAUCGGAUCGAGAACAAGGACGUGAUAUGCUGGAAUUCGAUGAUCGCGGCGUAUGCCCAGGGCGGGCAUAGCGCCCAAGCUCGGCAGCUCUGCGAGGAGAUGGAAGGUUUCGGAGUGAAAGCCAGCGACACGACUUUCGCUGGGAUCCUGGGAGCUUGUUCCUCGCUCGAGGAAGGGAAGAAGAUCCAUUCCAGAGCCCUUGCCAGGGGUCUCUCGUCCUCGAUCAUCGUACAGAACGCGCUUGUGAGCAUGUACGCGCGGUGCUCUAGACUGGACGUUGCGAGGGUCGUGUUUGACAAGAUCGAGAGCAAGAGCGUGGUCUCCUGGAACGCUAUGAUCGCUGCUUGUGCUCGGCAAGGAGAGGCCGAGCAAGCGCUGCAGCUUUUCAAGAGGAUGGAGCUGGAGCCCAACGAAGUCACCUUUGCAAGCGUUUUCAAUGCUUGUUCUUUGCUGCCGGAUCAUCGGGAGGUGGGAAAGAGGAUCCACGAUCGUAUUCGAGGCUCUCACCUGGAAGCCAAUGUGACCGUGGCCACUGCCAUCGUGACCAUGUAUGGCAAGUUCGGGAAAGUUGGUAUGGCGAGACAAGUUUUCAAUGGGAUCCAGCACAAGAAUGUGGUGUCCUGGAACGCGAUGCUGGGAGCUUACACACAGAAUAAUCUGGACAGGGAAGCUCUUGAAGUUUAUCACGAGAUGGUGGCGCAGAAAGUCCAGCGGGAUGAAGUUACGGUGGUGAUUGCUCUGGGGAUCUCUGCAAGCUUGCGACUGCUAAAACUCGGGAUCGAGCUUCACGAGCUCAGCGUUGCUCACGGCUACGACUCCAACAUCAAGGUCCAGAACGCUCUCAUCAGCAUGUAUGGGAAGUGCAACGAACUUGACGCGGCUAGGCGAGUUUUCUCGAAAGUGAGAGCUCAUGACGUGGUCUCCUGGACGGCUUUGAUCGUGGCCUACACUCAGCACGGGAGGAACCGAGAAGCUCUCGAACUCUACAAGCAGAUGGAGGGAGAAGGAAUGGAGCCGGACAAGGUGACUUUCACAAGCGUUCUGAGCGCCUGUUCCAAUACCAGCGAUUUGGAGCUCGGGCAGGCGCUGCAUGCACGGCUCUUGGCGAGGAAAGAUGGAUUCAGCGAUGGAGUUCUGGUGGCAGCACUCAUCAACAUGUACGUUAAGUGUGGGAGGCUGGACUUGUCGAGUGAGAUUUUCCAGAGCUGCAAGGACACAAAGGCGGUCGUGGUGUGGAAUGCGAUGAUCACGGCCUACGAGCAGGAGGGAUACAGCAGGGCCGCUGUCGAUCUUUACGACAUGAUGAAGCAGCGAGGCUUGGAUCCGGAUGAGUCGACACUCUCGAGCAUUCUAAGCGCCUGUGCAGAGCUCCAAGAUUUGGAGAAAGGCGAGCAGCUUCACGUAGAGAUCAUUGCCUCGAGGGACUGCUCUCAAAAUCCGGUAGUUCUCAACGCGCUUAUCAGCAUGUAUGCGAGCUGUGGAGAGAUUCGCGAAGCCAAGGCGGUGUUCAAGCGGAUGAAGAACAGGGACGUGGUGUCGUGGACGAUUUUGAUCUCGGCUUACGUCCAAGGUGGUGACGCUCGAAGAGCUCUCAGGCUCUACCGGAGGAUGCUCGUGGAAGGAGUCCAGCCGACCGAGGUGACGAUGCUGGCGGUCAUCGCUGCGUGCUCAGCUAUGGAGUCACUCUGGGAAGGUAUAGUUAUUCACGCUUUGACAGACUCUAUGUUCUUCACGGACGCGGCUGUGCAGGCUGCGCUCAUCUCCAUGUACGCGAGGUGCAGGAGGCUGGAUCUGGCGUGCCAAGUUUUCAGGCAAGUCAGGCACCUCGAAUCCAGCGCAAACUGCUGGAACGCGAUGCUAGCAGCUUACUCGCAGCUCGGGCUCCCGGAGGAAGGCAUCCGGCUUUACUGGGAGAUGAGCUCCACAGGGAUCAAAGCCAACGAGGGGACUUUCGCUGGAGCUCUCGCUGCUUGCUCGAUGCUUGGAGCCGUGAGAGAAGGAUACAGGAUCCACGAGCAAGUCUCUUGCAGCAGAUAUAGCUCCGACCUCAGCCUCAAGACCGCGCUCGUCCACAUGUACGCCAAGUGCAACCGGGUUGACGCUGCGUUCCACGUCUUCGAGCAGCUCCAACCGGACGUGGUGGCCUGGAACGCCAUGAUCGCGGCCUAUGCUCAAAACGGCUAUGCAUGGCACGCUCUCGAGCUCUACAGCAAGAUGGUCAGCGAGAGCAACGUAACACCCGACGCUUACACCAUCACCAACAUCCUCAGCGUUUGCUCCAACGCGAGGCUGCUCGACAACGGGAGGACGAUCUUCGAGCAGGCCGUGAGGCAGAGCCCCGAGCUGGAGCGAAAUACGGCGGUGGAGUGCGCGGUGUUUAAUCUCUACGCAAAGUGUGGCAAGCUCGACGUCGCGACGGCCAUGUUCGAGAGGAUGGAGGCCAAGAACGCCGUGUGCUGGCAUGGGAUCAUCGCAGCCUACGCUCACCAUGGCUACGGCAUCGAGACGCUCUGGUUCUACCGUCUCUUUGAGCUCCAUGGCUACAAACCGCUGGAGCCGACUUUCCUGUGCGUGUUCUUGGCGUGCGGCCACGCCGGCCUCGUCGACGAGUGUAAGUGGUACUUCCAGUCGAUGAUCGAGGACAGGAUCACUCCAACUUUCGAUCACUACUCGUGCGUUGUGACGGUUCUAUCGCGCGCUGGGAAGCUGGAGGAGGCCGAGGAUUUGCUCCACAGCAUGCCGUUUAAUCCUGGCAGCGUGGGGUGGACGAGCUUGCUGGGGGCGUGUAGAACUCACGGGGAUUUGAAGCGGGCUAGGAGAGCGGCGGACGAGGCUAUGGAGCUGGAUCGACAGGACAGUGCUCCAUACGUGCUGCUCUCCAACGUUAACAUCUUCGCUGCGUCGGGGUGUCUGGAUCAUUUGCGCAAGAAAACCAAGCACAAUCAUCCUAAGUAAAGAAGGAUAAAAGUUUAUGCGGUGCCGUAGGCGCCAUCUUGUUGGUGCGAAUCUCUCGAUCCCUGCAUGGAAGCUGUCGGAUCCGCACGAAGAAGCGGCGUUCACUACCACGACAUUGGCGCCAGCCCCGGAUAGGCCCCAUCGUCGUCUUCCGGCACAAUAAGCGUGCCAGCGGCAGCCCCAAGCUCAUCUCCAAUGAGCGUGUCAUCACCACCAUUCUUGGCCCCAUCUCCCGGUAAAGCAUGCCAACGAAUUUCCCAAGAUCCUCCUCACCACCAGCAGUGAGCGUCUCCUCGCCACCAGCAGUGGCAUCAGGUUUGGCAUUGUGCCGAGCACUAGCUCCGGCACCAGUUUAAGGACUAGUGUUUGAGGUAUUUCCUUUACCUUUAUUUCCACUCGUGUUCAUAUGGAAAACUUAGAAGGUACAAAAAAAAAAUUGAAUAGCAAAAAUCAUCCAAUUAAACAAUGCCUACUGUCUCAUGUUUCCCUAUUUCCUUGCCAAGAGCCGUGCAUGCAGAGCUCCAAAUCGCUAGCAUUGGAAUAGGCACUCAGAACCGCUGGUGCCUCCAUUCUAUCUGCUUGUAGAGCUCUCGGUUCCUGCCGUGUUAAGUGUAGGCCACAACCAAAGCGUGAGCUCACUUUCCAGAAAACUCACCUGGCCACGUCAAGUUCGUUGGAUGUGUCGAGAUGUCAGUCUCGAUCAGCUGAUGUGGCAUGUCCACGUGGGCAUGAGUCAUGUCCCUUGAGUCAUGUAAAAAGAGUCGGAACACAAUGAACGAGCUCAUGAGUGUUAUGUCCAUCCCUUUUCACACCACAACAUGGUAUCGGAUUUCGGGGACGAUCCUGGUUGGUUGAUUUGACGUUGCUGUCAUGGCCGCUUCAACCCCACCACCACCUCCGCCGCCCCCACCACCACCGCCGCUGCCGCCGCCGCCGCCGCCACCGGUUGCUGCUCAAGUUCUCGUGGCUUCCACAGAGAAGGUGGAGAAAUUCAGUGGCACGAAUUUCUUCACAUGGGCGACAAGAAUCAGGCUGAUCCUCUCUGCGAAACGAGCGUGGAACAUCGUUGAUGGGACUGAGCCUCGUCCCGCUGAGCAGACGCUACAAUCAGAUUGGGAUUUUCGCAAUCAGCAAGCCAUCACCGUCAUUGGCUUGGGAUUGAGCGAUGAAUUCUUGCCGCUGAUUGAUCUCACCAAGACCGCUGCUGAAAUCUGGACGUCGCUUCGCACGAUCUUCGUGGCCCAAGCCGCAAAUUCUUCCAUGCUGCUGAAUCAACAAUUCUUGGCGCUUCACAUGGAAACGGGUGAAACCAUUGCUGUGUACGUGGGACGGAUUCGAGGGCUAAUGGCUGAAUUGACUGGUGCUGGGUCUCCUGUCACGGACGAUCGCGCCAGGGCGUUGCUGCUUGCAACCGUCACGCCUGCGUUUAGCACGCUCGCAUCUGUUCUAUCUCACAUGGCCAUGAACUUUGAUCAAGUCGUGGGUGCCCUAAUUGAAGAGGAACGCAAGAUGAAGGGGAAGAAAGAAGCGAUGCCCUCUGCCAAAUCUUCCUUGCUUUAUGCUGGCGCUGCGGGAGGAUCAUCCUCGUCCUCUCAAGCUCAGCCGAACGACACUGGUUUUCGUGGCAUUUGUCACUAUUGCCACAAACCUGGACACUUGGCGAGGGAUUGCAAGAAGAAGAAAGCUGAUCGUGCUAAAGCUGCCAAGAACAAAGACAAAGGAAACAAAGACAAGGGCUCUGGGACUCCUCGUAAGCUCUUGAUGGCUCGCUCUGCAAGCAGCAGCCACCAGCCCGUGCUCGGACCAGAGCUGUGGCUGGAUUCUGGAGCGUCAUUCCAUAUGACGCCCAUGGCUUCCUUGUUUUUUGACUACCAAGAACCGUGUGAGAGUGACGCCGUGGGACUCGGUGACUCCUCUGCUCACGACGUACUAGGCAAAGGAACAAUCAGGGUUCAGCUCUCUUCUGGAGAAAUCCGGGAGAUCUAUCCUGUGUCUUAUGUUCCGGGACUUACACACACGCUGCUGUCGAUUGGAACUGCUGCUCAAGUAGGCUUCGAUACUCUGUUCACAGCACAGGGAGCGUUCGUGCUGGAUGCCGAGACUGGAGACAAGGUCGCUUUUGGAGUUCCAGUUGAUACGCUCUACCGCCUGGAUGCUCACGUGAUCCUUCCACCUGUGGCGCUGAUGGCUCGGGUUCCACCGACACUUGCAACCUGGCACCAGCGCCUUGGUCACGUGAACGAGCAACAGCUAAAAAAGGUGGAUGUUCCUGUCUGCGAAGCUUGUGUUGGUGGAAACGUUUUUCCUUUUCCACAGAUUUCUCAUUCUCGAGCAAGUUCUGUUCUUGAGUUGGUACACUCGGACGUUUGUUCGAUUAUGGUUGAAUCUUUGGGAGGCAAACGUUACGUAGUCACCUUCCUGGAUGAUUACACGCGGUACCUGAUGGUGUACCUGCUGGCUCAUAAAUCAGAAGUGUUCUCCUGUUUUAGCCAAUACAAGGCUUUGGCAGAAACUCUACACGGCUGUUUAGUUUGUGUGCUCCGCUGUGAUCGUGGAGGAGAAUUCGUCUCUGGCGAAUUCGAGACGUUUUGUGCUGAAGCUGGGAUUCAGCGCCAGUAUGCUGUCCCUGAUGCACAUGCCCAGAAUGGUGCUGCCGAGAGGGUGAAUCGCACCAUCAUAGAAGCUGCAUGCUGUAUGCUGCUUCACGCGGGAAUGCCGGCUGCUUUCUGGGGAGAGGCAGUGAACACGGCUGUUUAUGUUCGAAACCGGUUGCCAACUCGUGCCCUGCCUGGGAAGACUACUCCUUAUGAGCUUUGGACUGGUCACGCACCUGGUUACGAUCAUCUCCGCAUUUUUGGCUGUUUUGCCUAUGCACACGUUCCACACAAGCAACGCCGAAAGCUGGAGUCAAAGGCUGAGCCAUCCAUUUUCCUGGGAUAUUUGGAAGGCAUGAAAGGAUAUCGCCUUUAUUCUCUCAAGCGCAAGACUUUGCUGGAAAGACGGGAUGUGCUCUUUGAUGAGAGCAAGCUAUACAAGGAUUGCGCUGAAGUUCCUGCUCCUACUUUUGUGGAACUCCAGCUGGUGGACACAGUUCACGUGACUACAGCUCCUUCUCAAGUCCCGUUGCUGCCUUUUGCUCUUGCUGGUGGUAACUUGGUGGUUCCUCCAGCACUGCCACCACGCCCUCUAGCUACGCCUCUGCAAGAAUCUCCUCCAAUGAGAACACCUAGCUUCUCUAAAGAGCUGAUGAACACUUACUUCGAGGGCGAUGAGGAAUUUCAAGCUGCUCCUGAGUUCUUCCUUGGCUCAUCUUCAGUGGGAGCUGGACGUGGAUCAUCACCUUCAGUGUGCGCUGGAAGCAGGUUGCCAACUUCAGUGGGAGCUCUCCCAGACUCUCCACUUGUUCCACCACCUGUGAUCCACCCUCCAGCAUGUCCUGAACCACGGUGCUCUGCUCGAGUUCCUGUACCAUCGAGGCUGCAACUGGAAGCUGAGCAAUCUCGUCCCUUCUUUAGUUUUGGAAAAAUUAAAAAGAAAGGAACGCACCAGGCUAACUUCGUGGCUGCUAAUCUAGAGCGAAUCCCCAUUCCAGCGAAUGUUGACGAGGCAUUAGCCGGACCUCAUGCUGCCCAGUGGCGAGAAGCCAUGAAUGCUGAAAUGCAUUCGCAUGAGCGAAACAAUACAAUGACAAAGACAACCUUACCUGAAGGUGCUCACCUUGUGAGCUCAAAAUGGAUUUACACAGUCAAGUACAAACCUGAUGGAACUGUAGCAAUGUUCAAGGCCAGGUUUGUUGCACGGGGAUUCAGCCAGAUUCCAGGUUUGGAAUACAUGGAGACGUACUCACCAGUUGUGAAGUGGACCUCUGUGCAAGUGAUCCUUGCACUGGCUGCCAAGUACAACCUGGAACUGCACCAGUUGGACGUUCGCACUGCUUUCCUGCACGGCAAGUUGAACAAGGAGGUCUACGUCAAGCAACCACCUGGAUUCGUCAAACCUGGUGAGGAACAUCUUGUUUGCAAGCUGAAUCGCGCCCUGUAUGGGCUUAAACAAUCCCCGAGGGUUUGGUUUGAACGCAUUGAUGCGUUCUUCAAGAGCCUGGGGUGUGUUCCUCUUGCAGUGGAAGGAAACGUGUACCUGUACAAGUGUGGUGACGAUUUUCUCCUGGUUGCUGUGUACGUUGACGACUGCAUUCUCGGUGCAAAAACCCGCCACCUGCUGGACGAGAUGAAAAAGAAGCUGAGUGAAGAAUUUGAGAUGUCUGACCUGGGCGAGCGUCGCCAUUUCCUUGGCAUCCAAAUUAUACGCAAUCGAGGAGCACGCACCUUGAGUUUGACACAAGCUCACUAUGCAAGGGAGAUCUUGGAACGCUUCAAUAUGCUGGACUGCUCUUCCGUGGCCACACCUCUUGAGGUCAAUCACAAACUCAGCCGUGACAUGGCCCCUGUCACAGAGGAAGAACGUGAGUACAUGGCCACGGUGCCAUAUCGUCAAGCUGUGGGAAGUCUUGUUUAUUUGAUGCUGGGCACGCGACCAGAUCUCGCCUAUGCUGUUGGGAUGGUCUCCCAGUUCCUCGAGAACCCCGGACCUGCACAUUGGCUGAAGAGAAGGAGAGCAGAAGCUACGAUGGUGGAUGACUCCCAAGGAUAGUCGUAUAUAAUAUCAAAGAUAUAUAUACAUGAUGAAGAGACACGCCUCUAGCCUACACCUGGAUCAGUGAAGUGGCACUCCUGCCACCUAGGAUCAUGUCAUUGAGAGCGUACACUCAACACUCCCUCUCGAUCUCGAUGACAUGAAUCUGAGAUCACUCUCCCUCUGCAUCCAAGCACUCCAUCCACGACAGAAAUCUGUCUCUGCUCAGUGCCUCCUCUCAGCACCUCUGCCAGUGCCUUCUCACACCAGCGCCUCACUCAACGCUCCAGUGGAGUCUCUGCUCGGCCAGCCCUCGGGGCCUCAUGCCUCUACACCCGGCACUCACCUCUGGCGAGUCUCUGCGGGGCCUCGCACGCCCUAGCGCCUCGUUCACGGCCUCUGAUCACAGUCUCUCCUCUCUCAGCGCCUCUGCCAACGCCUCUCUGCUCGUGCCUUGCACCACUCUCUCAGGGUCGCUCUCUCACACCUCAGCGCUCCGGUGCCUCAAGCCAGCCCUCAUCGUCUCAGCCUCGAUCAAGCCUCCUCGGCCAGAGUCCUAACGGCUCUCUCCCUCUGCUAUGGAGCCCUCUCACACCUCAGCGCUCUGGUGCCUCAAGCCAGCCCUCAUCGUCUCAGCCUCGAUCAAGCCUCCUCGGCCAGAGUCCUAACGGCUCUCUCCCUCUGCUAUGGAGCCCUCUCACAGCCCAGCACUCAGCAUUCCUGCUUGCCUUUGGACAAUACCUCUGUCCAGUCCACCAGUGCCCCAGCACUCCAAUCCCUUCGCACCUCUGCCUGCAGCCCUUGGUGUCUCGCGCCUCUACCCUACAGGGUGCCCAGCGCUCACCUCUGCUCGGCCAGUGCCUCACGCCACAGCGCCUCUGGGCUGGUCUCUGCUUGAUCACGCCCUAGCGCCUUGCUCAGCUCGCUAGUGCCAUUAUCUUGGCACUCAGUACAGCACAGUGCCAAAUCUUGGCACCUCUCAGCCAAGUCCAGUGGCUCAUCGUCAUCCUCGCUAGCCUCCUCCUCGGCCAGCGCCAUCGUCCCUGGAUCUGAAGCCCUCAGGGCUCUGAUACCAUGAAGAGAAGGAGAGCAGAAGCUACGAUGGUGGAUGACUCCCAAGGAUAGUCGUAUAUAAUAUCAAAGAUAUAUAUACAUGAUGAAGAGACACGCCUCUAGCCUACACCUGGAUCAGUGAAGUGGCACUCCUGCCACCUAGGAUGGCAAGCUGUGAAGCGGAUUUUCCGCUACGUUCGAGGUACCUUGCAUUUGCAGCUUCACUAUGGCGCUGCUGUGUCACAGGAACUUCAUGGGUACUCGGAUGCGGACUGGGCGGGCGACCAGGACUCAAGGCGCUCUACCUCCGGGUAUACGUUCUUGCUCCAUGGGGUUGCUGUGUCCUGGAGCAGUAAGCGCCAGCCGCUGGUGGCUCUGUCCUCGACAGAGGCAGAGUACAUUGCCCUAACUGCUGCCAGCAAAGAAGCGAUUUGGUUGACCCAGUUCUGCCGUGACCUGCUCCAGAUUCCUGCUUGCACCGGCCCUAUGGUGCUGUUCUCGAACAACCAAAGUGCUCUUGCACUGGCCGCCAAUCCACGCUUCCAUUCUCGGACGAAACACAUUGAGAUUCGUUUCCACUACGUGUGGGAACAAAUCCAAAAUGGAAAGUUGUUGCUGGAAUAUUGCCCAACCUCUUGCCUUGGAAGAACAGCAACGAUCCACGACUGAACAUCUCCUUCAAGGCAAGCAGAAGAUCAAGUCAGAGGCAAUGGUGGCUGAUAUACUCACGAAGGCUUUGGCUCGAGACUCCUUUGAACGCCAUCGCGCUGCACUGGGAGUCUGCUCUCCAUCUGUUUCGGCUGAGUGGGAGGGGUAGUCCAUCCUCUCAGCUGAUCAAGCCAGAGUGGGAGUGUCGAGAUGUCAGUCUCGAUCAGCUGACGUGGCAUGUCCACGUGGCCAUGAGUCAUGUCCCUUGAGUCAUGUAAAAAGAGUCGGAACACAAUGAACGAGCUCAUGAGUGUUAUGUCCAUCCCUUUUUACACCACAACAGAUCCCCGCCGAGUCCAUGCUCCUAAACAUCUCGAUCGCCUUGCAGCCAACGCCAUCCAGGUCUUCCACGCCCUCCCGCGAAGAAGCCUCUUCUCCUGGAACUUCAUCAUCGCGGCAUUCGCCAAGAACAGGCACGCUGAGGAGGUGAUUGCCGAGGAAUCCAUCACUGGCGACAAUGUGGGCGUGGAUUCACCGCCCCUGCGGUAGGUCUGCCGCAUUAGGAGCGCGGCGUAGGUCUGGCGCACCUGGAAGGGCGACUGGAAUUGCAAGUUCGUCGUCGAGGGUUUAUAGUGGAUAUGCUAGGAAUAUGCUAGUGAAAGUCUUUUAUACGUCUUUGAUUUGAUUUUUUGUAUCUUUUGGUACGCUGUAAGAAUUCAUUGGGAUGAUCAAUCACACAGGAACCAGCCAGCCGCAUCCUUCUCCCACUCUCCAAUGCAUCUAGAAUGAAAAUCACCAAAGCUUUUGGCUAUGGCUCAUCUUCUUGAUUUUGGGCAUUCCUUGACUAAUUUUGUUUAGUCAUAUUAAUGCAACCGAAUUGAGGAAUCACAACCAUUACAUUAAGGAAUAUCGUACUUGGAUAUUCUAAAUAUAUAGCUUCAAAUGCUGAAACUAUUGGAACGUACACGGAAGGGCAUGUUGAAUGUUGAAUAUUGAAUGUUGAAAUGUUGAAUGUUUUCACGGGCUUUUACGUGUUUUCCAUGCUUCCAUCGCAAGGAUAGUUCAAUCCCGAACCUCUCAAACGUAAACCUUACAUGCAUAUCGUAUGGGGCCCGUCAUCUUUACAGGGUCGGCCCGAAGCUAAAACUUUCAGUAUAUAAGCUCACUCGUGCAAGUGCGAAGCAAUCAUCCAUGGCGAGCAACAUGAUAGCUUUGAUCUUGAUCUUGCUGGUGGUGGUAGGGGCAGCACCGUUUGCGAUUGCGCGGCCAGCGGCUCUGGAAGGCGAUCGCGCUCUAGAGAUCAAGAACAUGUUCGAGGAUUGGGCUGCCAAGCACGACAAGAGUUACAGCAGCGACUGGGAGAAGGCUCGCAGGCUGAUGGUCUUCUCCGACACUUUGGCGUACAUCGAGAAGCACAACGCGCAGCCCAACACCACCUUCACGCUCGGCCUCAACAAGUUCUCGGAUCUCACAAAUGCCGAGUUCCGAGCCAAUUACGUCGGCAAAUUCAAGCCCCCGCGCUACCAGGAUCGCCGCCCGGCCAAGGACGUGGACGUGGACGUGUCGAGCCUCCCGACGAGCUUGGAUUGGAGGCAGGAGGGAGCUGUGACACCGAUUAAAGAUCAGGGCCAGUGCGGUAUGAUAAGAACUCGUCGUUUUUUUUUCUUUUUCUUUCUAAUCUCUCUUCUAUUUGGCCUUUGUGGGUGUGGGUGAUUCGCAUGAUCCACAGGGAGCUGCUGGGCUUUCUCGGCGAUUGCAUCGAUCGAGAGUGCACACUUUCUGGCGACGAAGGAGCUCGUUUCUCUGUCCGAGCAGCAAUUGAUAGACUGUGACACGGUAGACCAAGGAUGCCAGGGUGGGUUUCCGGACGAUGCGUUUAAGUUCGUGGUGGAAAACGGUGGUGUCACCACGGAGGAGGCCUAUCCAUAUACAGGAUUUGCAGGCAGUUGCAACACGAACAAGGUUGGUAUACUUCACUAAUUAUUUCAUAUUAUAGCUGUUUUUUGUUCUUUAAAGAAUAAGGUGGUGGAGAUCACUGGUUAUAAAGACGUCACAAAGGACAGUGCUGACGCCCUGAUGAAAGCAGUCUCCAAAACUCCCGUGACCGUUGGCAUCUGCGGCAGUGACCAAAACUUCCAGAAUUACAGAAGUGUAAGAAAAUCUCAAAUAUUAUUUCUAUUUAUUUCUAACUUAAUUACAUCGUUUUCCAGGGAAUUCUUUCUGGUCAGUGCUGCAAUUCGCGGGAUCAUGCGGUCUUGGUCAUUGGAUAUGGAACCGAAGGUGGGAUGCCCUACUGGAUCAUCAAAAACUCGUGGGGAACUUCCUGGGGGGAGGAUGGAUUCAUGAAAAUCAAGAAAAAGGAUGGAGAAGGGAUGUGUGGGAUGAACGGACAGUCAUCAUACCCCACUACUUCGUAAAAUAACCACUUUAUAAUCCAAACUUUAUAUUAAUAUAUCAAUUAUACACUGCCAUGAAAUUUGCUCUUUUGACUAUGCUAUGCAGUAGAUCCAGAGCUAGGUAUGGCCACAGCAUCACGAUCUAGGGAGAGCUGCAGGCUUGCAGCAGCAAACAGUCAUGAUUGAGAGUUAGGUACUAUGUGAUCCAGAGCUAGGUGGAGCGGAUACACCUACAGGCAAACUAAAGUACAAGUAUCUUUUUAUCACUAUAUAUUGGUCAUUACAUUCAUGUGGACUUACGCAUAUAAAAACCUAAAGAAAUUUAAAAUAUGAGAGAGCUGAAGAAUUGCCAAAACACUUCAAAGUUUUCUAAAUGGAAUUUGAAGAAAACAUUUUAGGGGGGUGUGAUAUGUAUUUGAGAAGAAAAUCACAAAUAUAUUACAAGAUUCUUCAAUAAGUAGUUCAAAAGUUUAAUUGCAGUAUGUUAUUUUAGAACUUGUUUUGAAAUAUUCUGUUUAUUAAAUAGUUUACUGAUGCACUCAUGCUUGGUUUGCUUAACAAGAGUGCUUACUGUUUAAUAGUCUAACUGUAAAUUUUAAAUACAAGAUUAAUCUUAUUAUUUAUCAACCAUUAGAUGUUAAAAUAAAUGAAACAUAGUAAUGUUUAUAAAUUAUAAACAUAUUUAUAAAUUAUAAAUUCAAUAUUAAUCUAAAUGAAUAAAUUAAUUUGAAAAUAUAAUAAAAUACACUUGAAAGUUCUGUAGCAAAGUCAGGCUUAUGAGAUCCAAAUAUACAGCUAGAAUACAAUAUCUGUAUAGUGGGACUUUGAUAGCUGUUUGAUUCACUUUAAUUAGAAUCACUCACUCUUAUAUAUAAGUUACGAAUUUUGGGUUAAUAUUAUUUAUUUAUAUAUAUAUAAGUAUAUAUAUAUUCCAUGCACUCAUAUUGGUGGAGUUGAAAGGCAACUUUAAUUAUCUUUGCCAAAGUAAUAGCCUCCUCAUUUUUUGACUAUAAAGUAGCAAAUGCUUAAUGACAUGAUUUCUAUUAAACAAUCAGACACAAUUGAUGGGAGUAUUUAUUAUAUGGCUCUUCUUACUUUUGUUCCUAAUCCUCACAUUAGGCUAAAGUUCUUCUAUGAAAAUCCUUGGUAUGAUAUAUAUUAUUAGUUUGAUCACUUUACAAUGAUUGCUAUUUAUUAUUCUUGGGAUGAUGUAUAGUGUUUAUGUGAGUUUCCCACAUAUCUUUAGUGGACAACAUUGCAGUGGUACAAUAAUUUGUAAGUAACCACUAAUGCAAAUAAAAUUUUUUUUCUAGACAUCUGUAAGUACACAUUUUGGACACUCAUUUGGCUUCUGUUUUGGCCACUAUUAUAUGGCACCUUUUUGGCUCCACUUUAAGGUUUAGGGAUUUGUGUCUUAUAACUCCACCACCCAUACACGAAGUUUGAUGUCUUCAUUAAACGAUAAACUAUUUUAUAAAGUCGCACCAGUAUAUAUUACUAUUUCUAUCCUUAGCACCAAGCCAAUGUUCGUUAAUGGCUUGACACCGAAUGCUCAUUAUGCCUUUCCUAUCCUCUAACAAGUAUAAUAUCUCCAACUUAGAGAUUCAUUAGGCCACUUAUAGUAGUCCUUCCCCUUUCCUUUGUUUAGUUUAUGCUAAACUCGUUAGAGACACCUUCUUUAUUUCAAUUUGAGUACUCAUGUUAAUGAUUCUAAUAAUGCUUUUUAGCAACUCCAUCUUCUCUAUCUAAGGCUGUUUGAGUCAAUUAUGCAAUUUAGUAUUUGCUUUCAAAGCUUUUAACUUUGUAUGAAACAAAUAUGUUAGAGUGGAUUAAGUUGGGAAUGUUGUGGUUAAUGCUUUGUCAAGAUUUCAUGAGAUUUGUGUAUAAACUUGCCCCAACCACCUUUGAUAAUACUUUUCAAUUGACAUAAUAUAUUAUGAGAUAUCACCUCUUUUAUUUAUCACUACACAUACGUCAUCUCUACUUCAUGUGGGAGAUGAUCUUAUUCCAAUGAAGGUUGACAUUACUUUUGCCUGUGUUCAAGGACAAGUGUAAAGACGUGAUUGUGUCCAUGGUCGUGAUGUUCACUACUAAACAUAUGAUGAAAUUAGCCAUAAGUAUUAGUGUUGUUAGCAUUUUUUAGAUUGGCAUCCUCUAUUUUCUAGGUGGAAGUUUAGCGUAAACAAUGUUCUGUUGGCACUAUUACAAUAACAUAUAGACUCUUCUAGAAUGCAUGUGUAAUGGAGGGUCCUUGUGCGAUUAAAUAAAUGACUACUUUAUCUUUUUAAAAUAAAAGGUUCUAUAUUAUCCUCUCCAUAUUAGUUGAUAUAUGCUUGAAUUUAUUUUCUAUCAUUAAGCAUGUUGUUGUCUAUAAUUAUAUCAUGCACUUGAGUUAGUCUUUUUUUUCUAUGGCAACAGCUAUACACAUGCAUAUGCACAGGAUGAGGCAAACCUAGUUGUGCAUAUGUUUGAGUUUUAAUCAUCGCAAGUGGUGUUGAAUCAAUUUUUUGACAUCAUCUUGGUAUAGAUUAAUUGUAACACAAUCAUACCAUUCCUCUCACUUCUAUUCUAUUUCAUCCCUUUACUUUUACAUUUGCUUUUAUGACUUUUGUGUUUUUAUUUGUUUCUAUUAUGUUCUAUUUUUGCUAUUUUAUUCCCUUUUCAAAUCCCUUAGAUAGUGACAAUUUUUGUGUUAUAGCAAUUGACUGGUUCAAGAAAGAGUAUGUUGAUUUAUUUGAUUUUGACUUGUCAUCUGUAGCCAAGAUUGCAAUACAUAAUCUUACUCCAACUAGGGAUGCUUGUCCAAUUAAAAUUUUUAUCUAGUGUCUUUCAUUAAAGAAAAUCAAAAAUUAUAUACACAAAUGUCAAGAAGAUGUUGGAGAAAUGUGUUAUCUAAAAGUCUCAAAGUCUUUAGGUAUAUAAAUCUUAUUUUGUAAUGAAGCAUAAUGGGAGUAUUUUAUUUUAAAGUUCCCUAUUAUGAUAGGUUAUCUAAAAUUCUUUACUCUAAAAUAUGUGAAUGAUAUAUAGUAUUUCCUAGGCAAUGUGCAAUAUUUCAGUCAUUUUGUUGAUCAAUUUUCUAAUUAUAUUGCACUAUUGUGAGUAUUGCUAAAGUCAUCAACAUCAUCUUUUAUCUAGCUUUGAACUAUGAAUGGGCAUUUGCAUAUCUCAAAAAGUUAUUGAUGACUUUUGCAUGAAGUUUGGCACUAUUUUAGUAUAUCAAUUGGCUACUGCAAGGAUAUGAGUAUGCUAAUUGGUAUUUAAAUUAGGCUUAGACCCAAGUUAGAUGCAAAACAAAGAUAAGUAUGCAAGCAUGAGCUAAAUUAUACCUUAGGUUGAUCAACCAUGCCUAACCUACUUAUUAUCCUUACUAUCCUGACUACUAGUCCCACUAACCUUUGGGACUUCUUCAUCAUGUAACUAUAUCCUUUAUCACUAAACAAAAAUAACCAUUCUUUUUCCUUUCUACAAUUUGAGAUUUUGGAAUAACAUUUUGAAAUAAUGUGGCUUAAAGCAAGCUUCAUGGGUACUCCUCCCACCUUUUGCCACUAGAGUGUGUUAGUUAUGUGGCUUUGAGUGAGGUUUUGAUGAGUCAUGCAAAGUAUUUAAGUAGGUAAUACUAUUGUAGUGCACUUUAUCUCUCUCCCCUUAAGACAACUGGAAAAGGGGCAAUUACUUAAUAAAAAAGCUUAAAUCAUCAUCCCCUUCAGAGAUGUCAAUUUUCUCAUUGAUUAUUAACUAAUAAUCCUUAUUGAGCCAAAGGGAAUUAACACCUUUAUUUCCCCAAUCUAUUAAUCUUUCUAUCUUAUAAACUAAUUAUUCUAUGUAAGGCAUCACAUCAUUCACUUGUACUAUAUCCCACAACCCCUAUUAAGCCAAAGGGAACCAACACCUCUAUUUUCGCAAUCUACCAAUUCUUCUAUUGUAUAGAUUAACUAUUCCAUGUGAAGCAACUAAUUAUCUAUUUGUAUUACAUCCCACAAUAGAUAUCUUCAUUCAUGGAUGCUCCAUAUGAAGGAAGAUAUAUACAUGGAUGCUCAAUAUAUACAAUUUCAAAUUUAGGGGUAGGAAUAUACCUUGUUUAUGAGUGCUUUGGAUAAUUUUGUGGUUGCAAACAUAAUUUGGCAAGCUAGACUAGCAAUGCAACUGUUGGGAGAACCAAAGACUAUAAAGUUUAUUCACUAUAAGUGUAUAAAUGAUAUACAAUAAUUCUUGAGAAAUGUGCAAUAAUUUGGUUAUUUAUUGAUCAUAUUUUUAAUCGUACUGCACUAUUUUGACUAUUGCUAAAGUCAUCAACACCAUCUUUCAUUUAGUUUAAUGACUUUAAAUGGGCAUUUCUGCAUUACAAAGGAGUUAUUAAUGACUCCUUCAGUUUUGAUAUAUUCUAAUUGUGUGGAUGUUUUUUAUAUUAGUUUCAAAAUUGUGUUAGCCCAAGUGUGUUUGGAUAUUAAGGGAUGAUUGUGAAGGGCAUAAACUUUCAACAUUCAAAUUAAGAUGGUUAUUUACCAUCUCUUUGAUAUACAUAUGUCACAGAGGUAUAGAGUUUUAUUAGUGCCUCACCAUAAAAAUUCUUACAUGGUCAUAAUACGAUACUAUUAAUGGAGUUAAGUUUACCUUUGCGAUUCCUACGAGCUACCAAUGCUAAGUCUUAGGAUUUAUAUUUGAUGAGCAUCCAUCCACUACUUUGAGUAAAAUUGUUGAAUAUUUAAGCCAUGUAUACAUGGACAACAAUGAUACUACAACUCACAUCAUCAUCCACUUACAAGGUAUAAAGUGGAUAAUCUAGUGUUAAUUCAUUUUCCCAAUUUUAUAGUAUGUGGUUUGUCUAAAGGGCUCCUUAUUUAGUGGAAUGGACUGUAUUAAAUAUUAUGGUAAAUUGGACCACAAGUUUAUGAGGUUUAGUAUAACAUUUAAUAAGUUGAUCCUCUAGAAAUUGUGCAUAUGCAACAGCUAAAGUGCUUCAUAUAGGUUAGUCUUUAGAAUUUUUUUGAAAAUCUAUUAAAUAUGAAAUGGUGCUAAAAUUAUGAUCAUGGUAUUUAAGAUGCUCUCUAUAUUCCAUAAAUAUGCCUCUCCAGUAGAUAUAAACACUUGCAACAAAUAACAUAUAGGACAAAAACAAUACUAACAUAGUGAGGGUGUCUUUAUAAAUACAGUAAUGUAUCAUAUAACAAUAUUAAGGUACAAUAUAUAUAAGUCAAAGAUAUAUAGCAAAAGAGAAUUAAAAGUCAAACCAAGUAUGCUCAAUAAAAAACAACACAUAUGAAUUAUUACUUUAUAUUUAUCUAGCUAAGUACAUAUGCUAAACCCAAUUAACUACCAUUUGGACAAAAGGGGCUAAUAAAGGAACUAACAGUAUCCAUUGUGGCAGUAAAGAGAGGGUGUUAACCUGAUAAGUACAUUUUUAGAAAAAAAAAAGUUUUCUUGGAUUGAAGAUUAGAUACUAGUAUGAUUAAAAUUAUUAUAAAUAUUGCUAGUUAGACCUAACUCCUUUUGCUACAAGUUUUCAAUGGGAUCCAGCAUAAUCUGUGGCAUCCUGGAUCACAAUACUACAGAAUAAUCUGGACAGAGAAACUCUUGAAGCUUAUCACGCAGAAUAGUCCAUUCUGUCCAGAAGCUACAGUGGUGUGAUCGCUGCAAGCUUGCGAGAGGAUGGAGGCAAAGAACGCCGUGUGCUGGCAUGGGUCAUCACAGCCUACGCUCACCAUGGGAUUCUCUCGAAAGUGAGAGCUCACGACGUGGUCUCCUGGGCGGCCUUGAUCGUGGCCUACACUCAGCACAGGAGGAACCGAGAAGCUCUCGAGCAGCCGGACAAGGUGACUCUUAGCAGCGUUCUGACUCAUCAACAAGCUUGUGCUGGAUCCAUCUCUCGUCAUGCCGACUUUCCCAAACUUGCCGUACAUGGUCGCAGAGGCCACGGACACAUUGGCUUCAAGGUGAGAGCCUCGAAUGCGCCUCUUUCCCACCUCUCGAAAAGCUCCAGCGCUCGGCCCUCGCAACGUCCAGCCUGCACGUACAUGCUCACAAGCGCGUUCUCCGGCCUUCUUCCAGAUCCCUCAAGCUGGAGCAAGCGCCAAGGACGCUGGAGAGAGUAGCGAUGUCGGGCUUGAUCCCCGCCGAGUCCAUGCUCCUAAACAUCUCGAUCGCCUUGCAGCCAACGCCAACCAGGUCUUCCACGCCCUCCCGCGAAGAAGCCUCUUCUCCUGGAACUUCAUCAUCGCGGCAUUCGCCAAGAACAGGCACGUCGACGCUGAGGAGGUGAUUGCCGAGGAAUCCAUCACUGGCGACAAUGUGGGCGUGGAUUCACCGCCCCUGCGGUAGGUCUGCCGCAUUAGGAGCGCGGCGUAGGUCUGGCGCACCUGGAAGGGCGACUGGAAUUGCAAGUUCGUCGUCGAGGGUUUAUAGUGGAUAUGCUAGAAAUAUGCUAGUGAAAGCCUUUUAUACGUCUUUGAUUUGAUUUUUUGUAUCUUUUGGUACACUGUAAGAAUUCAUUGGGAUGAUCAAUCACACAGGAACCAGCCAGCCGCAUCCUUCUCCCACUCUCCAAUGCAUCUAGAAUGAAAAUCACCAAAGCUUUUGGCUAUGGCUCAUCUUCUUGAUUUUGGGCAUUCCUUGACUAAUUUUGUUUAGUCAUAUUAAUGCAACCGAAUUGAGGAAUCACAACCAUUACAUUAAGGAAUAUCGUACUUGGAUAUUCUAAAUAUAUAGCUUCAAAUGCUGAAACUAUUGGAACGUACACGGAAGGGCAUGUUGAAUGUUGAAUAUUGAAUGUUGAAAUGUUGAAUGUUUUCACGGGCUUUUACGUGUUUUCCAUGCUUCCAUCGCAAGGAUAGUUCAAUCCCGAACCUCUCAAACGUAAACCUUACAUGCAUAUCGUAUGGGGCCCGUCAUCUUUACAGGGUCGGCCCGAAGCUAAAACUUUCAGUAUAUAAGCUCACUCGUGCAAGUGCGAAGCAAUCAUCCAUGGCGAGCAACAUGAUAGCUUUGAUCUUGAUCUUGCUGGUGGUGGUAGGGGCAGCACCGUUUGCGAUUGCGCGGCCAGCGGCUCUGGAAGGCGAUCGCGCUCUAGAGAUCAAGAACAUGUUCGAGGAUUGGGCUGCCAAGCACGACAAGAGUUACAGCAGCGACUGGGAGAAGGCUCGCAGGCUGAUGGUCUUCUCCGACACUUUGGCGUACAUCGAGAAGCACAACGCGCAGCCCAACACCACCUUCACGCUCGGCCUCAACAAGUUCUCGGAUCUCACAAAUGCCGAGUUCCGAGCCAAUUACGUCGGCAAAUUCAAGCCCCCGCGCUACCAGGAUCGCCGCCCGGCCAAGGACGUGGACGUGGACGUGUCGAGCCUCCCGACGAGCUUGGAUUGGAGGCAGGAGGGAGCUGUGACACCGAUUAAAGAUCAGGGCCAGUGCGGUAUGAUAAGAACUCGUCGUUUUUUUUUCUUUUUCUUUCUAAUCUCUCUUCUAUUUGGCCUUUGUGGGUGUGGGUGAUUCGCAUGAUCCACAGGGAGCUGCUGGGCUUUCUCGGCGAUUGCAUCGAUCGAGAGUGCACACUUUCUGGCGACGAAGGAGCUCGUUUCUCUGUCCGAGCAGCAAUUGAUAGACUGUGACACGGUAGACCAAGGAUGCCAGGGUGGGUUUCCGGACGAUGCGUUUAAGUUCGUGGUGGAAAACGGUGGUGUCACCACGGAGGAGGCCUAUCCAUAUACAGGAUUUGCAGGCAGUUGCAACACGAACAAGGUUGGUAUACUUCACUAAUUAUUUCAUAUUAUAGCUGUUUUUUGUUCUUUAAAGAAUAAGGUGGUGGAGAUCACUGGUUAUAAAGACGUCACAAAGGACAGUGCUGACGCCCUGAUGAAAGCAGUCUCCAAAACUCCCGUGACCGUUGGCAUCUGCGGCAGUGACCAAAACUUCCAGAAUUACAGAAGUGUAAGAAAAUCUCAAAUAUUAUUUCUAUUUAUUUCUAACUUAAUUACAUCGUUUUCCAGGGAAUUCUUUCUGGUCAGUGCUGCAAUUCGCGGGAUCAUGCGGUCUUGGUCAUUGGAUAUGGAACCGAAGGUGGGAUGCCCUACUGGAUCAUCAAAAACUCGUGGGGAACUUCCUGGGGGGAGGAUGGAUUCAUGAAAAUCAAGAAAAAGGAUGGAGAAGGGAUGUGUGGGAUGAACGGACAGUCAUCAUACCCCACUACUUCGUAAAAUAACCACUUUAUAAUCCAAACUUUAUAUUAAUAUAUCAAUUAUACACUGCCAUGAAAUUUGCUCUUUUGACUAUGCUAUGCAGUAGAUCCAGAGCUAGGUAUGGCCACAGCAUCACGAUCUAGGGAGAGCUGCAGGCUUGCAGCAGCAAACAGUCAUGAUUGAGAGUUAGGUACUAUGUGAUCCAGAGCUAGGUGGAGCGGAUACACCUACAGGCAAACUAAAGUACAAGUAUCUUUUUAUCACUAUAUAUUGGUCAUUACAUUCAUGUGGACUUACGCAUAUAAAAACCUAAAGAAAUUUAAAAUAUGAGAGAGCUGAAGAAUUGCCAAAACACUUCAAAGUUUUCUAAAUGGAAUUUGAAGAAAACAUUUUAGGGGGGUGUGAUAUGUAUUUGAGAAGAAAAUCACAAAUAUAUUACAAGAUUCUUCAAUAAGUAGUUCAAAAGUUUAAUUGCAGUAUGUUAUUUUAGAACUUGUUUUGAAAUAUUCUGUUUAUUAAAUAGUUUACUGAUGCACUCAUGCUUGGUUUGCUUAACAAGAGUGCUUACUGUUUAAUAGUCUAACUGUAAAUUUUAAAUACAAGAUUAAUCUUAUUAUUUAUCAACCAUUAGAUGUUAAAAUAAAUGAAACAUAGUAAUGUUUAUAAAUUAUAAACAUAUUUAUAAAUUAUAAAUUCAAUAUUAAUCUAAAUGAAUAAAUUAAUUUGAAAAUAUAAUAAAAUACACUUGAAAGUUCUGUAGCAAAGUCAGGCUUAUGAGAUCCAAAUAUACAGCUAGAAUACAAUAUCUGUAUAGUGGGACUUUGAUAGCUGUUUGAUUCACUUUAAUUAGAAUCACUCACUCUUAUAUAUAAGUUACGAAUUUUGGGUUAAUAUUAUUUAUUUAUAUAUAUAUAAGUAUAUAUAUAUUCCAUGCACUCAUAUUGGUGGAGUUGAAAGGCAACUUUAAUUAUCUUUGCCAAAGUAAUAGCCUCCUCAUUUUUUGACUAUAAAGUAGCAAAUGCUUAAUGACAUGAUUUCUAUUAAACAAUCAGACACAAUUGAUGGGAGUAUUUAUUAUAUGGCUCUUCUUACUUUUGUUCCUAAUCCUCACAUUAGGCUAAAGUUCUUCUAUGAAAAUCCUUGGUAUGAUAUAUAUUAUUAGUUUGAUCACUUUACAAUGAUUGCUAUUUAUUAUUCUUGGGAUGAUGUAUAGUGUUUAUGUGAGUUUCCCACAUAUCUUUAGUGGACAACAUUGCAGUGGUACAAUAAUUUGUAAGUAACCACUAAUGCAAAUAAAAUUUUUUUUCUAGACAUCUGUAAGUACACAUUUUGGACACUCAUUUGGCUUCUGUUUUGGCCACUAUUAUAUGGCACCUUUUUGGCUCCACUUUAAGGUUUAGGGAUUUGUGUCUUAUAACUCCACCACCCAUACACGAAGUUUGAUGUCUUCAUUAAACGAUAAACUAUUUUAUAAAGUCGCACCAGUAUAUAUUACUAUUUCUAUCCUUAGCACCAAGCCAAUGUUCGUUAAUGGCUUGACACCGAAUGCUCAUUAUGCCUUUCCUAUCCUCUAACAAGUAUAAUAUCUCCAACUUAGAGAUUCAUUAGGCCACUUAUAGUAGUCCUUCCCCUUUCCUUUGUUUAGUUUAUGCUAAACUCGUUAGAGACACCUUCUUUAUUUCAAUUUGAGUACUCAUGUUAAUGAUUCUAAUAAUGCUUUUUAGCAACUCCAUCUUCUCUAUCUAAGGCUGUUUGAGUCAAUUAUGCAAUUUAGUAUUUGCUUUCAAAGCUUUUAACUUUGUAUGAAACAAAUAUGUUAGAGUGGAUUAAGUUGGGAAUGUUGUGGUUAAUGCUUUGUCAAGAUUUCAUGAGAUUUGUGUAUAAACUUGCCCCAACCACCUUUGAUAAUACUUUUCAAUUGACAUAAUAUAUUAUGAGAUAUCACCUCUUUUAUUUAUCACUACACAUACGUCAUCUCUACUUCAUGUGGGAGAUGAUCUUAUUCCAAUGAAGGUUGACAUUACUUUUGCCUGUGUUCAAGGACAAGUGUAAAGACGUGAUUGUGUCCAUGGUCGUGAUGUUCACUACUAAACAUAUGAUGAAAUUAGCCAUAAGUAUUAGUGUUGUUAGCAUUUUUUAGAUUGGCAUCCUCUAUUUUCUAGGUGGAAGUUUAGCGUAAACAAUGUUCUGUUGGCACUAUUACAAUAACAUAUAGACUCUUCUAGAAUGCAUGUGUAAUGGAGGGUCCUUGUGCGAUUAAAUAAAUGACUACUUUAUCUUUUUAAAAUAAAAGGUUCUAUAUUAUCCUCUCCAUAUUAGUUGAUAUAUGCUUGAAUUUAUUUUCUAUCAUUAAGCAUGUUGUUGUCUAUAAUUAUAUCAUGCACUUGAGUUAGUCUUUUUUUUCUAUGGCAACAGCUAUACACAUGCACAUGCACAGGAUGAGGCAAACCUAGUUGUGCAUAUGUUUGAGUUUUAAUCAUCGCAAGUGGUGUUGAAUCAAUUUUUUGACAUCAUCUUGGUAUAGAUUAAUUGUAACACAAUCAUACCAUUCCUCUCACUUCUAUUCUAUUUCAUCCCUUUACUUUUACAUUUGCUUUUAUGACUUUUGUGUUUUUAUUUGUUUCUAUUAUGUUCUAUUUUUGCUAUUUUAUUCCCUUUUCAAAUCCCUUAGAUAGUGACAAUUUUUGUGUUAUAGCAAUUGACUGGUUCAAGAAAGAGUAUGUUGAUUUAUUUGAUUUUGACUUGUCAUCUAUAGCCAAGAUUGCAAUACAUAAUCUUACUCCAACUAGGGAUGCUUGUCCAAUUAAAAUUUUUAUCUAGUGUCUUUCAUUAAAGAAAAUCAAAAAUUAUAUACACAAAUGUCAAGAAGAUGUUGGAGAAAUGUGUUAUCUAAAAGUCUCAAAGUCUUUAGGUAUAUAAAUCUCAUUUUGAAAUGAAGCAUAAUGGGAGUAUUUUGUUUUAAAGUUCCCUAUUAUGAUAGGUUAUCUAAAAUUCUUUACUCUAAAAUAUGUGAAUGAUAUAUAGUAUUUCCUAGGCAAUGUGCAAUAUUUCAGUCAUUUUGUUGAUCAAUUUUCUAAUUAUAUUGCACUAUUGUGAGCAUUGCUAAAGUCAUCAACAUCAUCUUUUAUCUAGCUUUGAACUAUGAAUGGGUAUUUGCAUAUCUCAAAAAGUUAUUGAUGACUUUUGCAUGAAGUUUGGCACUAUUUUAGUAUAUCAAUUGGCUACUGCAAGGAUAUAAGUAUGCUAAUUAGUAUUUAGAUUUAGCUUAAACCCAAGUUAGAUGCAAAACAAAGAUAAAUAUGCAAGCAUGAGCUAAAUUAUACCUUAGGUUGAUCAACCAUGCGUAACAUACUUAUUAUCCCUACUAUAUAUUUGGAAACCCCCCGUCCCCCCCCACCCCUCCCCUAUUUCGCAGAUAUACAUGUCUUAUAGAUCUAAACACUUUCCAUAAAUACCUAAUGAGACCAAAUAGAACUAAGAUAUGGGCUAUAAUAGCAAAGGUGUUUAAUGGAUAUGGUAAAUUUUCAUUUAACAAUAUUGAAGGAUUAAAACUCAAUAUAUAAGGGUUUUUGUCACUAUUCAAUGCAAGAUAUAAUGAGAUGGGAAGUCUUUAUUGGGUUAAAUAUGCUCCACUAGCAUAAGAGGGAUUAAUAAAGGGUUUAGUAAUACAUAAGAGGGACUAAUAAAGGGUCUAGCAAUAUCGAUUUUUUACUAUUGUAAUAGUAUCUAAAAGGAUUUGCUAACAAGUAACUUUUGAUACCUAUAAUUAUAUUCACGACAUUCUUCCCCCUCUUAAGGAAUAUUUAUAUUCUCAUCGAUGUAUACUUUAGUCUAGACCACCACCAAAGAAACAACUUCAGAAAAAGUUUAUGGUGUGAGAAUGCACUAACUUAAAUGAGUUAUAGGGCACCUUCUUUAUCUAAGCUUAUUAAAGAUAAUAUGCUUUUACUUAUAAGUGACAUAAAGAGAGAAGAUAGAGGCCCCAACCUUCAUGAGCAAACAAACCAAAACCAUCAAUAAAGUUUAGGUAGACUACUAUAAAUAAGCAAUUAGAGUUAUUUACAUAGUCACACUUUUUUUAACAAAAUAAAGAACAUUGAGACAGAGGUGGAUGAUGUGACUAAUUGACAAUACUUACCCUAUGAUUAAAAAUUUUAUUAUAUAAAUGAAGUGUCAAAAUUAGUAUUGUCCCAAACCCAAAGAUCAAUAGAUGGACAAUAUCAAAGUCAUAGACAAAGAUAUCUUAGAAAUAAUGAAUUAUUGGUGAAUUUAUUUUAUAUUAAAACACAAAAGCAUUCCAAUUAAGCUAUCUAAUAAACUAGUAUUAUAGGAACCACCAAGAUCAUGAUAGUGCAAAGUCAUAAGAUUAAUUAUCCAACAAAAUUCAAUAGGAAGUAUACCAUUGAGUUUUCUUAAUGAUAUACUUACUAUUGAAUUUUGUUGAAAACUCAAUAGUAAAACUAAACUACUAAAGAUUGCAGAUAGCAUGCUAAGAAAAUUAUGAAAGGCAACUCAAAGAAUAUAAAGUAUCAUUGAUAAACAAGUAAAAUGUUUAUAAAUAUAUCAUCUAAAAGAAAUAACAUUCCAAUCUAUUGAAACCAACUUUAAUAAUAAUCAAUAAAACAAAAUAAAUAUUACAAUGGUCAACAAACACUCAAUUAUACUAACUAUCACAUUAACUAAUUUGAAUAGAUCCCAGUCAACAACAUUAAGGAAUUAGAGUUGUUGAAGAAAGCUUCAGUAACAUUCUACUGAAUAUCUUAAACUCAAGAGACAAAUUUAGAGUAAACCAUAAAGAGCAUGUGAUAAUACAAAAAGCUAAAAAGCCACAAAAAAUAAUAAUAAGCCAUCACUAAAGAUCAUCAAUUAUCCCAUUAAUAGAUGAUACAAAAUCACUGUUAAAUAACAACUCAUCAUCUUGAAGAAUGACAAAUUGUCAAACAUCAACAAUAAUUAAAUAAAACCUCAAACAAAGAUAAUCAACUAUCCUAAAUGUCAGUCAAUUAUCAUCAAUGAUUUCCAUAUGCAAAUACCAACUUGAAUAUUGGAACUAAUAAGUGAAAAUGACUUCCCCGACAAUUCCUAAUAAAUGGAACAAUAAGCUCGAAGAAGCAUAUAGGCAAAUUUCAUCUAACAAUGAUCAUAAGUCUCAUAUGAACUAACUUUAAUGCUAAAGAAAACAUCAGGAUAUAACCCACAAUAUCCUCCUCAAAACAUCCAUAAGUGAAACUUUAUUGUAGCGCACAUGCACUACUUAGAUUAUCAUUUUUAUCUCUACGUAUGUAACGAGGCUAAUUGUCCAAUCGCAUUGGAUAAUACUUGUUGAGAUGUAUCCUCUGACACUAAAUGUAACACACGUGAUUUUCACCCUUUAUCCUAUUGUGAUUUACCAUAGGAAUCAUGAAGCAGAACCUAAACCCUCUAUGUGCCAUGUGUCACAUACCAUGUGCCACAUGCCAUAUGUCCAAUAAUAGUCAGAAACCAAGUUUUAGUGCCUUAGGCCACUAAAUGGAUGGAGAAAAUUCCUAAGCAUAGAGCCAAGGAGUAAAGGAAGCGAAGCAUAGAAUGACUCUUAAGCAUACAACCCAAGGAACAAAAGAACAAAAGUAUGGAGCAAUAUAGAAAUAACCCUAGAGCAUUCAACAUCCCAAUGUUAAGACCCACACGCAAAAUAGAGUCAAACAGAGUUUAGCACUAUUUUAGGAAUGGAAUUUGGGUAUAGGUACUCCAUGGAAUGGAACUUGGGUUUAAACCCAAAUCAAACACAAAAUAAAGACAGGCAUACAAGAGAAAGUUAGAUUAUGCCUUAAGUUAAUCAACCAUGCCCAACCAACACACUAUCCCUAUUAUACAUUUAGAACACCCCCACCCCCCAUCUUCCCUUGAGGAACACACAUUUUUGGGCUUUCACCUUUAGCCACCCUUAAUACUAAGAGUUAGUCUUUGGGACUAACUUCAAACUUAUUAAAUAUAGAAUAACAUUACAUUGCGAAUUUGGAAGUAGAAACAAUGAUAUUGUGUGCAAAAUAAUCUCUACAUUCCAUAUAUAUGCCCAACUAGUAAAUCUAAACACUUUCCAUAAAUAGCUAAUAAGACUCAACACAAGAGGCAUGUGUAAGUGACUAAAUUUUUCCAUUCUACUUUAGUCACUUAGCCACACUUUCAACCACUUGAGGAAUCUCACUCACCACCUCCAUAAGUCCUAUUUCAAAAUUGGGCUUGCUAGCCCCAAGAAUAGCAUCCCCGCCACUCAACCUUUACACUUGGUCCAAGUGCUCUACAUGUCCAAUUCCAUGACCGACACCCAAGGUACCACCGACAUAUCUGCCCAUUACGCUAAGGCCAUGCCCCUUCACUUUGGUCACACCAGUGGUCUAACACCACCUAUAGCACAGUCCCGUCUCUCAAAGACUGGACCAUCCAUCCAUGAGUGAUCAUCCCAGAUCCACUCCUUAGCAUCUUUAGGAUGCCCAUAGACAUGAGGGAUAACUUUCCCCAAUAUCCCUUUUCCGGUCCCCAACAGGUCCCUCUCUGCCCAUGGUCGUGUUCGCCAACACUGCCACAGGAUCAAGGCCUACAAGCCUAACCACUAAGUUCCAUGGUCUUCUAGGACUUCCUCCUCACAUGACCAUAUCCUUGGUCUCUACACUAUAGGACGGCUCCUUUUCCUUUUCACAAUCUGGGACCUUGGGGCCUUUCAUUUUGGAACAUUGUGGCUUUAUACGAGCCUCGUGGGUACUCUUUUCACCUUCCGCCUUUGGGUGCUCUAGCCAUGGGCUUAGAGUGAGGUUCUAUUGAGCUACACCAAGUAUCCAAGUAAGUAGUGCCACCCACACUUGGACUGGGAGCAUCGGACAGUCGAUCUCCCGAGGGAACUAAAGCCGACUCUUGAACACUUCACCAAGCUACCCCACUUGUCGGUCCGUGUUCACUCUAGUCUUGGUCUUCCCAAUGGGCAGCUCAUCACCCAACACUGGGCACAGCCUAGCAGCUCAUCACCCAACUGGCCUUUCCUGGCCAAACUGGCUCCACUGCAAUCCUCCCCCUAUUAUACUUUUGGAGCUCACCAAACCCCCUAGGGUCUGGGAGACGAACGCUUUGGGCUUUCACCCUCUCAAACUCGAACUCGGACUCGGACUCAGACUCAGACUCAGACUCGGACUCAGACUCGGACUCGGGCUCGGGCUUGGUCUCGGCCUUGGCCUCGGUCUUGGUCUCAGUCCUAAUCUCGGUCUCGGUCUCGGUCUCGGUUUCGGUCUCGGUCCCGGUCCCGGUCUCGGUCUCAGUCCCGGUCUCGGUCUCGACCUCGGACUCCAUCUUGGGUCCUUCUCGGACUCCAUCUUGGGUCCUUCUCGGACUCCAUCUUGGAUUCCAUCUCGGGUCCAUCUCGGACUCCAUCUUGGACUCCGUCUUAGUCCAUCUCGGACUCCAUCUUGGACUUCAUCUCAAGUCCAUUUCGGACUUCAUCUCGAACUCCAUUUUGGACUCCAUCUUAGACUCCAUCUCGAACUCCAUGUCGGACUCCGUCUCGGUCCAUCUUAGACUCCAUCUCGGACUCCGUCUCGGUCCAUCUCAAACUCCAUCUUGGGUCCAUCUCGGACUCCAUCUCGGAUUCCGUCUCGGAUUUCAUCUCGGACUCCGUCUCGGUCCAUCUUGGACUCCAUCUCAGACUCCGUCUCGGUCCAUCUCGGACUCCAUCUCGGACUCUUCCACGUGUCAUGUGUUGGUCCUUUUGGGUCCCUUUUUAGAGCCUCGCUUAUUGCUCGCUUCGUGCUCAUUCAUCAAACACUUUGUUAAGAGUUCCACUCCCGCUCUCGAUCUUUCAAAUCGGAGCUUUUGGCCUAAACAUGUUACACUCGUUUGGCUUUUGCUUCGGCCACUACCACAUAGCACCCUUCCAGCUCCACUUUGGGGCCUAGGGAUUUUGUGUCUCACAGCAUGAUAAUGAGUGUCUUAGUGAACAUGGUAAACUAUUAUAUAGUGAAUAUUGAGGGACCAAACUCAAUAUCCCAAGAAUUCCCAACACUAGUAAGUGCAAGUCAAUAUAUAUGUUUUUCAUACUAGGCUGAAUAUGCUUAACAAGAAACAUAUAGGAGUUCCUACCUUAUGUUUAUCUGACAUAUGUAUAUAUAUGAUGACCAAUUUCUCAACUAGCUUAGGUGGAAAUUAAUAAAGGGUCUAACAAUACUGACCUUCUACCAUUAUAGCAAUAAGGAAAAAGUAUCCUAAAGGACUAGCCAAUAAAUAAUUUUUCAUACCCACAGUCAUAUUCACGACAUUCUCCCCCCCCUAGAGAAGAUUGAUGUCCUUAUUAAUGCAUACUGUAGUCUAAACCACUACCAAAAAAACAACUCUAGACAAAGUUUAUAGUGUUUACACCUUUGUAAGAAAUGCAUGAAUUUAAAUGAGUUAAGAAGCAACCUCUCACUCUAACACAAAUGUGCUAUAACUCAGAUAUUUUCCAGUUGUCACCGACAAGGAAAUGACCAACGAAGUUAACCACCUUUACUAUUUUGGAUAUCAUCCAACUUACAAAAGUUUAUAUACCUCUUUUGCCCAUAAGUGACAAAGAGAGAAGCCAGAAGCUCUAACCUUUUUAAGCAAAGAAACUAAACCCAUUGGUAGAUUUUAGAUAAACUAUUGUAAAUAGGCAAUUAAAGUUGUUUACAUGGGCACACCUUUUUUAACAAAAUAAGGAAUAUCGAGAGAGAGGUGGGUGAUGUGAUCAAUCAAUAGUAUGACUAAAAAUUUCACUAUACACAUGAAAUGUUGAAGCUAGUCUAUUUAUACUGGCCCAAACCCAAAGAUCAAGAGAUGGACAAUAUCAAAGUCAAAGAUAAAGAUAUCUUAGAGACCUAAUUAUUAGUAAAUAAAUAUUAUAUUAGAAUAUAAAAAUAUUCCAAGUAAGUUAUCAUCUGAUAAACCAGUACUAAAGUACAGGAACCACCAACAUCAUCAUAAUUGGAAAACAUAGAACUCACUAUCUAACAAAAUUCAAUAACAAGUGGACUAUCAAGAAAAUUCAAUGAUAAAAUUUAACUAUCAAAGUUUGCAAACAACAUACCAAACAACUUAUAAAAUACAACUAAAAGAAUUAUCAAAAUUAACUCAAACAACAAUCAAUAAAAUGGAAUGAAUGUUGCAAAGCAAACAAACAUUAAUUCAUGCUAACCAUCACACCAGCUAAUUUGAAUAGAUCUCAGUCAACUAUACUAAGAAACUCAAGUUUCUUAAGUAAAUGUUAGCAACAUCGUAUUGAUGUCUCAAACCCAAGAAACCAAACUAAAACAAACCAUAAAUAACAUGUGGUAAUGCAAAAUGUUAUAAGCCAUCAAAUAAAAUAAUUAACUGUCAUGAAAGACCAUCAAUUAUUUUAUCAAUAAAGAGAUGCAUAAUCAUUGUUUAAGAAAGAAUCCACCAUCCUAAAGAAUGACAAAUCAUUCUAUAUUAACAAUAAUCAAACAAAACCUUUGAUAAAGACAAUCAAUUAUUUUAGAUGAUAGUUAAUCAUCAGUAAUGAUGUAAUUUAACACUAUAGAUUAAACACAACCAAAUAAUAUUGACUAAGAUAGAAUCGACAUGCCAACAUAGAAAAACUAUACAAACCUACGAUAUGAUCCUUUACAACACCAUCCGGUAAAUAAGCAAAUCACUGAUAAAUCUUCAUCAAGCAAAGGAAGUGUCAAAAGUCCUCAACAAAGUUUAUAAGUAAUCACUAAUCGUAAAGCAACUAACAAUUACUCUUCAAUUUGCCUUUAUAAAGACCAAACACUAAACUCAUGUUAUUAAGUUAUAUAUUUACCCAAUAAGAAGGUAACACAGGUACAAGGAUAAGCAUAAACUAAAUGACCACUUGAAUAAUUUAAUUGCAAUAAACUCACUAAUAUGUCUAGCCAACAGCUUUAAGAGGCUAGCUAUGCAUAAUCUACACUCAACUGAACUAAAAUGAAAACCAUGAGAUGAACUCAUAUUGGUAUACAACCUUUUAAUAGAUAAAGCUAUAAUACAGGUACUAACACUUCAACCUCCAACAAUUAAGUUGGACAUCACCAUCUUUUUAUCACGAUUAAGUCAAGAUUAAUGAGAGCUUACUACUCUUAUAAAAUCUAACAAAAUAUAAGGUGCAACUUGCCACCAAGCAUAUAGAUACAACAAAAAGGCACAAAAGUCACUUUUCUAGAAAAGUGCAAUAACUAUUUUUCUUUUCUUACACCAGCUCCAGACUCUAUCCAACUUAAUUGCCUUAUCCUCAAAAAUCAACAUCCUUUUCAGGCCACAUCAUACAAAUUACAUACUAAGGUUUAAGCUAAUUGAAGUCAACUCCAACCCUUUCACUAAUUUUUAAUAGCUUUAUGGUUUUCGAUCAAAAUGAUCAACAUAUCAACUAUUGGAAAAGUCUAAGAAAAUUUGUGGAAAAUUUCUAUCCAAAAUAAAAAAUGACUCUCAGUUUAGAAAUACAAAUUCUCAAGACUUAACCAACUUCCUCCUACUUACAACUUCACACAAGUUUAUUUUAAUAUAAGUUCUUAUGACCUAACAAUAUGCUUAAGUAUCGAACAUCCCAUAUAUCUUACAUUUGACACUGUUAUUUGUAAAUGCUAAUAAAUACCUAAAAAUUGAUCAUAAAGAUCAUAUUUUUGGAUAUGUAUGUUGCACUCUUCUUCAAUCACCUUCAAAAUCCAAUGUGAAGACAAAAUACUAACAAAAAAUAACAUGAAAAUCAAGUU
rnacentral:lncRNA from 1 species